UCUCUCUCUCUCUCUCUCUCGGGUGGAUAAAUUUACGGACCGAAUGAAAUUAAGGAGAGUGGAAAGGGGGAAAAAAGAGAAACAAAUAUAAAGAAACAGGAAGAAGAGGAGGAGAGAGGGAGAGAAGAGAGAGAAGGAUAGAAGAGAAAAAUCGAGAAGGGAGAGGAGGAAAGAAUUAAGGGAGAAGGGAGGUAAUGAAUAACAAAAAGCAGAUAUGAAGGGAGAAGAGAAAUGGGCGGAAAAGAAUGAAAAGUAGAUAAUAAGGAAAGGAAGGGAGAGAAAAAGGAGUAAGAGGGAGAGGCAAGGAAAGGAAGGGAGAGAAAAAGGAGUAAGAGGGAGAGGUAAGGAAAGGAAGGGAGAGAAAAAGAAGUAAAAGGGAGAGGCAAGGAAAGGAAGGGAGAGAAAAAGAAGUAAGAGGGAGAGGCAAGGAAAGGAAGGGAGAGAAAAAGGAGUAAGAGGGAGAGGUAAGGAAAGGAAGGGAGAGAAAAAGGAGUAAGAGGGAGAGGUAAGGAAAGGAAGGGAGAGAGAAAGGAGUAAGAGGGAGAGGUAAGGAAAGGAAGGGAGAGAAAAAGGAGUAAGAGGGAGAGGUAAGGAAAGGAAGGGAGAGAAAAAGGAGUAAAAGGGAGAGGUAAGGAAAGGAAGGGAGAGAAAAAGGAGUAAGAGGGAGAGGUAAGGAAAGGAAGGGAGAGAAAAAGGAGUAAGAGGGAGAGGUAAGGAAAGGAAGGGAGAGAAAAAGGAGUAAGAGGGAGAGGUAAGGAAAGGAAGGGAGAGAAAAAGGAGUAAGAGGGAGAGGUAAGGAAAGGAAGGGAGAGAAAAAGGAGUAAGAGGGAGAGGUAAGGAAAGGAAAGGAGAGAGAAAGGAGUAAGAGGGAGAGGUAAGGAAAGGAAAGGAGAGAGAAGGAAAGAAAAUAACACGAAUAAUAAUAAGAAAAUGCGUAUGGGAAGAGAAAGAGGAAGUGGAGAGAGAGAUAGAGAGAGAUAAGAUUUUUCUGCACAAUUCAAGUAAACAAGUAUAAAGAUAACAACAGACAAGAUAAGGAUGGAAAAGAGGAGUAGGAGAAGGAGGAGGAGGAGGAGGAGGAGGAGGAGGAGGAGGAGGACGAGGAGGAGGAAGAGGAGGAGGUUAGUAGCCCAGUUCUCCAGAUGUCGGUGGGAAGGUGUAGUGUGGGAACUGGCAGCUGGGGGCGAGACGGUCACCUUGUGUGUGUGUGUGUGUGUGUGUGUGUGUGUGUGUGUGUGUGUGUGUGUGUGUGUGUGUGUGUAAUCAUGGCCACAUCACAUCACAUCACAGCACUCCUUCCCUCCUUCCCUCUUCCUCCUCCUUCUCCUCCUUUACUUCCAUUUCCUCCUGUUCAUUCUCCUCAAAUCUCUUCUCGUUUCCUAUAUUUUUUUUUCGUUUUCAUCUUUUUUUUAUUCUCUUCCCGUUAUUUCCAUGCUUUCUUUUCAUUACCUCCUCCUCCUCCUCCUCCUCCUCCUCCUCCUCCUCUUCUUCCU